AGGACGAACGCUUGCGGCGUGCUUAACACAUGCAAGUGGAGCGACGAACCAGGGCUUGCCCUGGGGCAGAGCCGCGAACGGGUGAGUAACACGUGGGUUACCUGCCUCGAUGACCGGGACAACCCGAGGAAACUCGGGCUAAUACCGGAUGUGCCCGCAAGGGGAAAGGAAGCUUCGGCCUCCGCAUCGAGAUGGGCCCGCGGCCCAUUAGCUUGUUGGUGAGGUAACGGCUCACCAAGGCUUCGAUGGGUAGCUGGUCUGAGAGGACGAUCAGCCACACUGGGACUGAGACACGGCCCAGACUCCUACGGGAGGCAGCAGUGGGGAAUCUUGCGCAAUGCGCGAAAGCGUGACGCAGCAACGCCGCGUGGGGGAAGAAGGCUUUCGGGUUGUAAACCCCUUUCAGUUGGGACGAAGCUUCGCCGGUGAAUAGCCGGCUGGAGUGACGGUACCUUCACAAGAGCACCGGCUAACUACGCGCCAGCAGCCGCGGU
rnacentral:rRNA from 1 species